rnacentral:lncRNA from 1 species
AAUGGGGUCAUCUGAUAUAUCAAAUUGAAGGUCUUAAUAAACUCUACUUAAAAAUGAAAAUUUUAAACCCCUUUUCAUCCCAGGGGGACGGGUGGGGUCAUUUAGUGCAAACAUUCAAAUUUCUCAGAUGGUAAGGUUGUCGCAUAUCAAAUGAAAGAACAUAAAGCGUACAUUUCAAAUUUCAAAUUGACGUCUCCCAAAAAAUGGGUUGGAUGGGGUCAUUGAGUGCAAAAAAUAAAUGUUCUUUUAAGGUAGGGUUGUUGUGUAUCAAAUGAAAGGUCAUGAUUUGUACAUUUUAAAUAUCAAAUUCCCGACCUCCAAAAAUUUGUUGGAUAGGGUUAUUAAGUGCAAAAAUCAAACUUUCAAGAACAUGGUGUUGUCGCAUAUCAAACGAAAGCUCAUCUACUCUGUUCCAUAUUUCAUAAUUCCGAUCUCAAAAAUGUAGACGGAUGAGGUCAUUAAGUGUAAAAAGCGAAAAGUUUCAGAAGGUGUGCUUGUCGUAUAUCAAACGAAAGGUCGUACAAAGUACAAUACGAAAACAUCACUUUUACAGGAAAGACCUUUCAAUUGUUUUACAAACAAUUGAGAUACUAUUUUCUUUUUCUUUUUUUUCUUCCAACAUUUUUUUGACAUGCUCGCCUCUUGUUUCUGAUGAAGUUAUUAAGACCAAAUAUGGACCAUUGCUAGACCUCACCAAGAUGUAUUACCAAAUGACCCUGUUAAGGAUUUCAUCAUCCCCUUUAGGAGUUAUUUCCCUUUUAUUGAUUUUUUUCAACAUUGUCCCCCCUCGUUGGUUUUAAAGAUAUCAUGACGUUAAUUGGACAUAAUGUAGAUCUCAUCAUGAUGUAUUACCAUGUGAGGCUGAAGUGGAUUCCAUCGUCCCCUAUGAGAGUUAUAUCCCCUUGAAACAAUUUCUUUCCUUUGCAUUUUUCUCAAAAAGUAUAAGAGAUAGAAUCGAUUUGAAAAGGACAACAUGUACAGGAAUAGAUGGCAAUGUUAAUGAACAUGUACAAUCAUUUUGUUACUAACCCUUAUAAGGAGUUAUUCCCCUUGAAAAAUUGUACAUAAUUUUAGAAAAAUU